CUGUUCGUUCGGGUCAUACCAGUGAGAGUGGGUUAAGAAUUGUCAAUGUGGUUUGAAGUGGACAAUGGUACUCCCCAGGGAAGUGAGACAAGUGCAGCUCCCGCUGAGUCGAAUUACUGAGGUUUUUUGGGGGAAGCGACUUCUGCUCCGGUGGCGUUAAUACACCAUUAACAUUGGAUGCCAACAGCUGUUAAACCCCAUCGAAGAAGAUUGGAAAUACUUUUUGACUGACACAUGGGCAACGCGUUGUGGCUGACCAAAAACUAUACUAAUGACGACAUGGUCCUGCAAGCUCAGGAGACUGCUGGGGGGAGGACAGCUCAUAAUAAUGGCUGCAAUGAAGUGAAUGGAAUGGUAUCAAACACUUUUUCGAUACCUUUCCAUUAAUUCCGUUCCAGCCAUUACUAUUACCAAAUAAGGUGCGACCAACCUCGUGACCCUGAAAGUAUUUCUCCCACCACCAGUUUCCCGAGUGCAGAUACGAAAGACGACCUGAUCCUGAGACUGAUUCUCCCACCACAAGUAACGAGUUGGAAAGAAGACUGCCCGCCCAAGCUUUGAUGAGGCCUGAAAGUCAUAUUGUACCCUAAGUAUACAUGUGGAAUACUGAAUACGAUUUAAUAUGCAACACUGUAAAACAGGAUGUGGGAAGUAACGAAUUACAAAUACUAUUGUUACUGUAAUUGAGUAGCUCUUCAAAGUACUAUUUUUCAAUGUCAGUCAUUUUACUUCUACUUGAGUAAACCACGCACAAAGUGGCUGGACUCAAAUCAAUGCAGAUUAACACCCGUCACAUGCCAAUGGACUGUAUAUGAGUACUGCACAUUCUGAGCAAAAGGAAAGGCCACAAUUUGUGUAUGUGUGAGUGUGUGGGCUUGUGCAAGAGUGUGAUGAGUGCCUUGAUUAUUGUUCAACUUUUUAUAAUCAUAUCAGGUUGCAACCAAUAUGGCUGAAUAUCUUCGCCAGGCGACCAAAAGAGGAACCGAACCCUUUGCUCUGAUUCUCGGGGACAAUCACCCCUACUCCAUGGCAUUCACUAUCAUGACUGAGCAGGCUCUGGAGCAGAGGACAUUAUGUUUAGCUGUUUAACAAGAAUUGAUAUGGAAAAUGCAUACCUGGUAGGGUUUUGGGGGAGUAAAGGGUAAAGUGUUUACUUUUCUUCACCCCCUUUCCUCAGCUUUAAUUGCUGGGGCUCCUGUGAUUUUUGAAAUUAUGGAUUGUGCUAAAGUUUUUAUUUGUGUGUUCCUUAUUUGUUUAUCUUUUGCAUGACUUCAUUUUGGAGCUGAAAUGAAUCAUUCAAAAUACACAUUUUGUAUUUUA